AGUAGGGAAUUUUUCACAAUGGGCGAAAGCCUGAUGGAGCAAUGCCGCGUGACUGAUGAAGGCCUUCGGGUUGUAAAGGUCUGUUGUAAGGAAAGAAUAGUAAGAAUAGGAAAUGAUUCUUAUUUGACGGUACUUUACCAGAAAGCCACGGCAAACUAUGUGCCAGCAGCCGCGGUAAUACAUAGGUGGCAAGCGUUAUCCGGAUUUAUUGGGCGUAAAGGGUGCGUAGGCGGUAAUAUAAGUCUAAGGUUAAAGAUCGAAGCUCAACUUCGAUUUGCCUUGGAAACUGUAUAACUAGAGUACAGGAGAGGUUAGUGGAAUUCCAUGUGUAGCGGUGAAAUGCGUAGAUAUAUGGAGGAACACCAGUGGCGAAGGCGACUAACUGGCCUGUAACUGACGCUGAGGCACGAAAGCAGGAGUAUCAAAUAGGAUUAGAUACCCUAGUAGUUCCUGCCGUAAACGAUGAGUACUAAGUGUCGGCUUUAAUGUCGGUGCUGUAGCUAACGCAUUAAGUACUCCGCCUGAGUAGUAUGCUCGCAAGAGU
rnacentral:rRNA from 1 species